GACGAACGCUGGCGGCGUGCUUAACACAUGCAAGUCGAGCGGUAAGGCCCUUCGGGGUACACGAGCGGCGAACGGGUGAGUAACACGUGGGUGACCUGCCUCUAGCUCUGGGAUAAGCCUGGGAAACUGGGUCUAAUACCGGAUAUGACUCCACGGCGCAUGUUGUGGGGUGGAAAGCCUUGUGUGGCUAGAGAUGGGCCCGCGGCCUAUCAGCUUGUUGGUGGGGUGAUGGCCUACCAAGGCGACGACGGGUAGCCGGCCUGAGAGGGCGACCGGCCACACUGGA
rnacentral:rRNA from 1 species